AACUGUGAGCGUGCGGGCGAUACGGGCAGACUUGAGUACUGCAGGGGAGACUGGAAUUCCUGGUGUAGCGGUGGAAUGCGCAGAUAUCAGGAGGAACACCGGUGGCGAAGGCGGGUCUCUGGGCAGUAACUGACGCUGAGGAGCGAAAGCGUGGGGAGCGAACAGGAUUAGAUACCCUGGUAGUCCACGCCGUGAACGGUGGGUACUAGGUGUGGGUUUCCUUCCGUGGGAUCCGUGCCGUAGCUAACGCAUUAAGUACCCCGCCUGGGGAGUACGGCCGCAAGGCUAAAACUCAAAGAAAUUGACGGGGGCCCGCACAAGCGGCGGAGCAUGUGGAUUAAUUCGAUGCAACGCGAAGAACCUUACCUGGGUUUGACAUGCACAGGACGCCGGCAGAGAUGUCGGUUCCCUUGUGGCCUGUGUGCAGGUGGUGCAUGGCUGUCGUCAGCUCGUGUCGUGAGAUGUUGGGUUAAGUCCCGCAACGAGCGCAACCCUUGUCUCAUGUUGCCAGCGGGUAAUGCCGGGGACUCGUGAGAGACUGCCGGGGUCAACUCAGAGGAAGGUGGGGAUGACGUCAAGUCAUCAUGCCCCUUAUGUCCAGGGCUUCACACAUGCUACAAUGGCCGGUACAAAGGGCUGCGAUGCCGCGAGGUUAAGCGAAUCCUUUUAAAGCCGGUCUCAGUUCGGAUCGGGGUCUGCAACUCGACCCCGUGAAGUCGGAGUCGCUAGU
rnacentral:rRNA from 1 species